UACAGUCUUGGUCCUAAACUUACUGUUACUAGCAGCUAACAUUACACAUGCCAGUCUCCGCACACCGGUGCCCAAGCCCAAAACCCAGCCAACCGGAGCCGGCAUCAGGCACACCAGUAGGUAGCCCACAACGCCUAGCAUACGCCACACCCUCAAGGAACUCAGCAGUGAUAGACAUUAGGCAAUAAGCCCCCACGCUUGACCUAGGCCCAGCCCCCACCUUAAAGCCGGUAAACUCCGUGCCAGCCACCGCGGUUAUACGGCGGACUAAAAGUAACCACACACGGCGUAAAACGUGACUAGAGGCCCAGGCCUGCGCAACUGGGCGCACAACCUAGAUAAAGUUGUAGAACACCUAUAUCCGAAACUCAACAUGCCCCGCCCAACCACAGGCCCCCCUUGAUCACACGAAAACUAAGACACAAACUAGGAUUAGAUACCCUACUAUGCUUAGCCGUAAACCCUGAUAGCCCACAAACCAGCUAUCCGCCAGAGAACUACAAGCGAAAAGCUUGAAACUCAAAGGACUUGACGGUGCCCCACACCAACCUAGAGGAGCCUGUCCUAUAAUCGAUACUCCACGCUAUACCCUGCCAACUUUUGCACUAACAGCCUAUAUACCGCCGUCGCCAGCUUACCCUGUGAAAGCCCCAUAGUAAGCACAACAGCCAGCACUAAUACGUCAGGUCAAGGUGUAGCUAACAACUUGGAAGCGAUGGGCUACAUUUUCUUAUAAAGAAAACUACGGACUACAAAAUGAAACCAUGCCAUAAGGAGAAUUUAGCAGUAAAUUGGGCAAGUGUGCCAUAUUGAAGCCUGCCCUGGGGCGCGUACACACCGCCCGUCACCCUCAUCAACCUCCUUUUUCCCCCCCCCUAAAUAAAAACCCCACAACUCCCCUAGAUGAGACAAGUCGUAACAUGGUAAGCGUACUGGAAAGUGCGCUUGGAAAACC
rnacentral:ncRNA from 1 species